CCAAAACACAUUCUCCAUUCUCUGCUUCUGUGUUCUGUUCUAAUCAUUCGCAUUCGCUCUUCCUCUGUUCUAUCAUUUACAAAAUAUGUUCUUUCUCUUCAUUCUUUUUAAUGAAAAACUCAAGGCACUGAUCCUUUAAAAUAAUUGACCCAUACUUUUAGACUUGAUAUUGAAUCAAUAAAUUUGUGAGUUCAGUGGUUUUUACAAUUUUACUUUUUUUUUUUUGUUAUAUUUUUAAAGCUUUCAAUGUACUUUUUGUAUGUGUAAAUGCUGUUUAGUUUAUAAGAAAAUGAAAAAAACUUAUUUUUUAUUUUCUUCUACUCAAGUUUAUACAACUAGGGUUAUUAAAAUUUGAUUUCGGAGUUUAAUGUUGAAUUGUGUUUGCGUUUACGCAUUUUUUUUUUCUUUUAAACAGAGAAAUGGUCUUAUUAUGGAGGAAUAUAUGGCAUUGAUGUUCUGCGUAGACUACUUGUUGAUUGAUUUAUUUGGUUCUUUAGUUAGAAAGACCUAAAUUCGAACUGGUCUUUUAGUUGAGCCUUAAUUUUUUUUUUCUUAUAUUAGGCGCCACUUCGUUGACCGUUUUCUGAUUUGCAUUGCAGCUUUUGAAUAAAAUAUGCUUUCAGGGGCUAAUGUUGAGAAUGAGGCCGCCGAAGAUAGUGAAUUUGAUGAUUCACUUAGAGAAGAUGAAUCAGAAACUUUGUCUGAUAUUGAUGAUUGUGAUGUUGAUGUGUAUCUUCACAAUGAGGAGGAGAAGAAUAUCAAGAUGCUGUGGGAAAGAGUUAACCGAGUGAACAGGCAGCCAAGAAAGCAGUUGCAACAGCUAAUAAGAAAGCUUUUGAGGGAAAUUUUGGAAACUGCUCAGAGGAUUUCCUAGCAGCAAGAGAGCUAGCUGCAGCUGCGGCAAAAUCCAGAAAGGGAAUGAAGCAGAGACGAGCCCAUGAAGCAAAAAACAUUGCGCUUACUCAAUCUGCUGCAGAGGCCUUCAGCCAAAUAUCUAAUGAAAAAAAGAGUCUCAAUUCUAAAGUCAAUAUAGAUCGCCUGGAGGAAUUAUUCAAUGAUAUGGAGGAGGAUGAGAUGGGACCAGCGGAUGAUUACUGAAACGUUACAAAGUGCCCUUUCUGCUUUUAUUAUCUGUUGUUUGCAGUUGCUAUUCAGCAUGGCUGGCUGCUGAACAGAAGAUUGCCAGAGACUGAAAUCUUUUAGUAUGCUGAGUUUUUCCUCCUAUUUUCUAUUUACUCAUCGCAUUCAUUUGCCAAAAUUUUGGAAGUCUUUUUACAAGGAAAUUGUUAGGUAGGUUUAUCAGCAUCACUCUGUUUUGACACAAAGCAAUGCUUUGGUUGUGUUUCAUAUCAAAAGUCUACUUAACAAACCUGUAUAGAAUGUGUUUUGUUAUGAUAGGCAAUGAAUUCAAAUGAAGGAAGGUGUUGAAAAUAGA